UACCUUGUUACGACUUCACCCCAAUCAUCUAUCCCACCUUCGGCGGCUGGCUCCAAAAGGUUACCUCACCGACUUCGGGUGUUACAAACUCUCGUGGUGUGACGGGCGGUGUGUACAAGGCCCGGGAACGUAUUCACCGCGGCAUGCUGAUCCGCGAUUACUAGCGAUUCCGGCUUCAUGUAGGCGAGUUGCAGCCUACAAUCCGAACUGAGAACGACUUUAUCGGAUUAGCUCCCUCUCGCGAGUUGGCAACCGUUUGUAUCGUCCAUUGUAGCACGUGUGUAGCCCAGGUCAUAAGGGGCAUGAUGAUUUGACGUCAUCCCCACCUUCCUCCGGUUUGUCACCGGCAGUCACCUUAGAGUGCCCAACUAAAUGAUGGCAACUAAGAUCAAGGGUUGCGCUCGUUGCGGGACUUAACCCAACAUCUCACGACACGAGCUGACGACAACCAUGCACCACCUGUCACCGUUGCCCCCGAAGGGGAAACUAUAUCUCUACAGUGGUCAACGGGAUGUCAAGACCUGGCAAGGUUCUUCGCGUUGCUUCUAAAUUAAACCACAUGCUCCACCGCUUGUGCGGGC
rnacentral:rRNA from 1 species